rnacentral:lncRNA from 1 species
UUAAUAUAUUUCAAAGAAAAGUAUAUAUCAUACACGUACUAUAUCCAAAAAUUAUUGAUUCUCAACUUGUCACAUUAGUUUUUUUUUUAUUUUUUACUAGGGGUGCGUUUGGUUCGCGCUAUCUUUUAAAGAUUCCUAGUAAUCCAAUAGAAAUAAAAAAAUAUGACGGUGUUUGGCUAAACGCACUAAGUAAUCUAGUUGGUAAUAUUGGAUUCACUUGGGAAUAAGAUUCACCCCAAAGUACUAAUCUCAUUCCUUUGAGGGAGGGUGGGUAUCCUCAUAUUAAUGGAUUGGGGUAAUCAUAAUAUGUUUAAUCUCUUUCUUUCUUCCUACCCGCCGGCUAAUUGAUAUUAUUUUUCUUUACACUCUAACCUUAUAUCUCUCUCUAAACUUAUUUUUCUCUCUAAAAUUCAACUUUUUUUUCUCUCUCUAAACUAAGCUUUCUCUCUCUCUCUCUUUCUAAAAUUUCAACUCUCUCACUCCCUCUAAUUUCGACUAUAUUUUUCUUUCUAUUUUUUUAAUUAUGCUCUCUCUCUCUAACUUAUACUCUCUCUCCCUUUUUUCUAAAAAGAUGUUGAAACUUUUGGUAACAUUAUCUAAAAUUAAUUAAAUAAAUAAAUUAAUUAAUUGUAUAUUUUUUGUAAUAUUAAAUAACAUGGCUAAUUAAUAUUACCGUGCGAACCAAACACAGGAAUUCCACAUUCUUAGUAAUAGGAUGAAUAGUAAUAAGAUUCUCAGAUAUCUUUUAUUCCUAGUAAUCUUUUAUAAUGCGAACCAAACGCACCCUAAAAGUUAUUUGAAUUUUUGUAAAUCGUAAGUAAAAUUUCUCA